rnacentral:rRNA from 1 species
AUACGGGGGAUCCGAGCGUUAUCCGGAUUUAUUGGGUUUAAAGGGUGCGCAGGCGGCCAUUUAAGUCAGCGGUUAAAUCGUGGGGCUCACCCCCAUUCUGCCGUUGAUACUGGGUGGCUUGAUUGCGGUCGAGGUUGGCGGAAUUCGUUGUGUAGCGGUGAAAUGCAUAGAUAUGACGAAGAACACCGAUUGCGUAGGCAGCUGACCAGACCGCAAAUGACGCUCAUGCACGAAAGUGCGGGGAUCGAACAGGAUUAGAUACCCUGGUAGUCCGCACAGUAAACGAUGAAUACUUGUUUUCGGCGAUAUAAUGUCGGAGGCAAAGCGAAAGCGAUAAGUAUUCCACCUGGGGAGUACGCCGGCAACGGUGAAACUCAAAGGAAUUGACGGGG